GACAGAGGUGCCGAGCGUUAGGCGGAAUCACUGGGCGUUAAAGCGUGUGUAGGCGGAUCGUUAAGUACCUUGUGAAAUCCCACGGCUUAACCGUGGAACUGCUUGGUAUACUGGGCGAUCUUGAGCCACCUAGGGGCAACCGGAACAAAUGGUGGAGCGGUGAAAUGCGUAGAUAUCGUGAGGAACACCAGAGGCGAAGGCGGCUACCUGGACAAUUGCUGACGCUCAGGCACGAAAGCGUGGGGAGCAAAAGGG
rnacentral:rRNA from 1 species